ACACUUAUUUAUGGUGUAGGACAAAUGGAGGCCUUAGCUUCAAAGCAAGGAACCCAAAAAUGUAAUCCACACACUUCCCAUCCUUUUCAUUAUUCCCUUCCCCUUCUCUUCCAAUCUCAGUCUUUAGCAAAGUUGCAAAUCUCCAACAUUAACCAUUCAACCACCUAACCUGCCAAACCUUACUAGACAAGUACUCCACCUCAAUCUAUAUAUAUUUCUCUCCGAACUUUCUUUCACAUGUUUUCACACUAAUUAUGGGUAUGAUCAAAAUUUUCAUGUUUUGCAUCAUGCUAACCGCAGUGCUUUUCUCUCUUCUCUACAUUCCAACCAAACUAACCAUGCCCAUCUCAAGCUUUAGGCCCAUUAUGAACUACUUAAACAUACAAAAAACCAACAAAACAUCAUAUCCUACAACAUUUGCCUACCUCAUUUCAGCCUCCAAAGGUGAUACUGUAAAGCUAAAACGCUUGGUACGUGCACUAUAUCAUCCGGGGAAUUACUAUUUGAUUCACUUGGAUCAUGGUGCACCUGCGUGGGAGCAUCGUGAUAUAGCGAAGUUUGUGGCUAGUGACCAAGUUUUCGGCCAAGUGGGUAAUGUUUGGAUUGUUAAAAAACCAAACUUGGUCACAUAUAGAGGUCCAACCAUGCUUGCCACCACUCUUCAUGCAAUGGCUAUACUCUUGAGGACUUGCAAAUGGGAUUGGUUCAUAAACCUUAGUGCUUCUGACUAUCCUUUAGUCACUCAAGAUGGUAGGAUCUGAUUCAUGCCUUCUCUGAUUUGCCAAGAAAUCUAAAUUUCAUACAGCACAGCGGUAGAUUGGGUUGGAAACUGAAUAAGAGAGCCAAGCCAGUCAUAAUAGACCCAGCACUCUAUAGCCACAACAAAUCUGAGAUUUGGUGGGUUAUUAAGCAGAGGACUCUCCCAACAGCUUUUAAGCUUUAUACAGGUUCAGCUUGGACUAUACUGUCAAGAUCUUUUGCUGAGUAUUGCAUAGUGGGCUGGGACAAUUUGCCAAGGACUCUCCUCCUCUACUAUACCAACUUUGUAUCAUCUCCUGAGGGAUAUUUCCAGACUCUGACAUGCAAUUCUGAAGACUACAGGAACACUACAGUUAACCAUGACCUCCGCUACAUUACAUGGGAUAAUCCACCGAAGCAGCACCCUAGGUCCCUUGGACUUAAAGAUUAUAGAGGUGCGGUUCUAAGCAACCGCCCUUUUGCGAGGAAGUUCAAGAAAAAUGACAGAGUUCUCGACAAAAUUGAUCGACUGCUUCUCAAAAGACACCACAGACAUUUCACAUAUGGUGGGUGGUGUUCUGGGAGUGGAGAGAUGUAUAAUACGUGUUCAGCUUUGCAAAGUGAGAAUUAUGGUGUUUUGAAGCCUGGACCAGGGGCUAGAAGGUUGAAAUCUUCACUAACAAGAGCUCUUUCUGAGAGGAAUUUUCGCAGGCAGCAAUGCAGAUGAUUCUUUAACAAAAAUGAGCAAGUCCUUGAUAUUAAUAUAUUGAUUGAUUUUUUAAAAAAAUUUGGGUUUGAAUUUGGCUAAGGUUAGUUAUUUUUAGCUAAAAUUGUUGAUUCAAAAUUUGACGGUUCUAAGCUUAUGUGAAUCUUCUUGGUGUAAGUAUUAUAUUUUGUGAAAAGAGCAGGCAUGAAUUUAAGCAAAGAGUCAAGACUCAAGAAUUUAGUCACAAUGUUACAUGCCUAUUACAUUUUCAUUGUAUAUUGAGUUCUAGUUUGAAGUACAAUGGAAAAGCAAAUACAGAUCCGAUGGGUCAAAAUUUAA